CGCAUUGAUUGUGACAGCCUUUGGCGAGUCGCAUGUAGCCCUUUUCGCCCCAAGUUUCAGACCAGCUGUGGGAGGGUAAGAAGAACAGCCAACUGCCAACAUGCCGUGAUUCAACAUCUGUUCGCAGUCCUUGUGGUGAAAGAUUCCUGAUGGAGGAAGAGUUGCCGGUACUGGUGCAAAACAGUGGUGCAAAACAGAGAAUGACGCGAGUCCCCUCCCUGGCUCGUGCUCAAAUCCCUGGAAAAAGCCCCUCUCUCCCUCAUUGAGUCAAGCUGCUGCAACCAGCUGCCCUCCAUGCUGGUAUCUCAGGACCAGAAGAGGUAUGAAGAGAGAGGAGCAAAGGGAGACACCGCGAAGAAAUCUCAGAUUACUUGGGGAGGAGACGUAGGGAGCCUUAAGUCCUCGCAAGUUCCUCUCCUGCUGGGAAGAGAUGUUGUGCUCACUAGUCCUGAGUUUCUUUGAAUAAAGAGUCAACUUCACUGGCACCUUGUGAGUUAUUGCUGAGCUGAUCCACCAGGACAUUGAAGGGACAGGUUACCCAAACCUGACUGUGUAGUCACCCCAAUUAGGCCCCAAAACUUCCCAAAUUCUUUCUUUGAGGAGUAAUUAGCUAAAACGCAUUAGCUUGAGCUGUAUAACACAAACCAGCUGAAUAAACAAAGCCUUCUCCUUUAUCAGUC